AGAUGAUGAGACACAGCUAGUCGAUGAUGAGGAUUGUGUCAAUGAAGAUGAUCCUGUUCUAAGCACCUUGACUGACCGCCCAACCACCAUGGCGGAAGCUAAACGAAGCCCAGAUUGGGAUUACUGGCUUGAAGCAAUGAAGAAAGAAGUCAGCAUGUUUGAAAGGAAAAAGACGUAUAUUGUCGUUGAGAAGACCCCAGAAAUGGAUAUCUUAACUGGCAAGUGGGUAUUUGAUCGCAAGUUGAACAACAAAGGGGAAACAAUCAGGUUCAGGGCUCGAUGGGUAGUUAAGGGAUUCCUCCAGCAGCAAGGAGUCCACUAU
rnacentral:sRNA from 1 species